rnacentral:Y_RNA from 1 species
GGCUGGUCCAAAUGCAGUGGUGUUUAUAACUAAUUGAAUCACAACCAGUUAGUUACAGAUUCCUUUGUUCCUUCUGCAUUCCCACUGCUUCACUUGACUAGCCUUAA